AGAGUUUGAUCCUGGCUCAGGAUGAACGCUGGCGGCGCGCCUAACACAUGCAAGUCGAACGGCACCCACCCUCGGGUGGAAGCGAGUGGCGAACGGCUGAGUAACACGUGGAGAACCUGCCCCCUCCCCGGGAUAGCCGCCCGAAAGGACGGGUAAUACCGGAUACCCCGGGGUGCCGCAUGGCACCCCGGCUAAAGCCCCGACGGGAGGGGAUGGCUCCGCGGCCCAUCAGGUAGACGGCGGGGUGACGGCCCACCGUGCCGACAACGGGUAGCCGGGUUGAG
rnacentral:rRNA from 1 species